rnacentral:rRNA from 1 species
UACGGGGGGGGCAAGCGUUGUUCGGAAUUACUGGGCGUAAAGGGCUCGUAGGCGGCCAACUAAGUCAGACGUGAAAUCCCUCGGCUUAACCGGGGAACUGCGUCUGAUACUGGAUGGCUUGAAUCCGGGAGAGGGAUGCGGAAUUCCAGGUGUAGCGGUGAAAUGCGUAGAUAUCAGGAGGAAUACCGGUGGCGAAGGCGGCCAUCUGGCCAAAUACUGACGCUGAGAUACGAAAGUGUGGGGAUCAAACAGG